GUAUGACUCUCGGCAAUGGAUAUCUUGGCUCUUGCAUCGAUGAAGAGCGCAGCGAAAUGCGAUACGUGGUGUGAAUUGCAGAAUCCCGUGAACCAUCAAAUCUUUGAACGCAAGUUGCGCCCGAGGCCAUUUGGCUAAGGGCACGUCCGCCUGGGCGUCAAGCAUU
rnacentral:rRNA from 1 species